rnacentral:rRNA from 1 species
GACGAACGCUGGCGGCGUGCCUAAUACAUGCAAGUAGAACGCAGUUGCGAACGGGUGAGUACCGCGUAGUUAACUGCAUUAUAGUGGGGGAUAACUAUUGGAAACGAUAGCUAAUACCUCAUACUGUGAGUUGGACCUUCGUUGUAUUCGCUAGUUGGUGAGGUAAAGGCUCACCAAGGCCACGAUAAAUAGCCGACCUGAUAGGGGUAUCGGGCCAAAUGGGACUUGAGAACGGCCCCGACGCCUACGGGAGGUAGCAGUAGGGAAUCUUCGGCAAUUGACGGAAGUCUGACCGAACAAAGGCGCGGGAGUGAAGAAGGUUUUCGGAUCGGAAAGAUCUGUUGUUAGAGAAGCGGUAACUAACCAGAAAGGGACGGCUAACUACGUGCCAGCAGCCGCGGUAAUAC